rfam:Schistosoma mansoni, Puerto Rico, WGS project CABG01000000 data, contig: 0147
AUGUAGUUGAUGAGUCUCAAAUAGGACGAAACGUACGUCAUGGAU